CCUGGCGGCGGCCUACACAUGCAUGUCGAGCGGUAGAGAGUAGCUUGCUACUCUUGAGAGCGGCGGACGGGUGAGUAAUGCCUAGGAAUCUGCCUAGUGGUGGGGGAUAACGUUCGGAAACGGACGCUAAUACCGCAUACGUCCUACGGGAGAAAGCGGGGGACCUUCGGGCCUCGCGCCAUUAGAUGAGCCUAGGUCGGAUUAGCUAGUUGGUGAGGUAAUGGCUCACCAAGGCUACGAUCCGUAACUGGUCUGAGAGGAUGAUCAGUCACACUGGAACUGAGACACGGUCCAGACUCCUACGGGAGGCAGCAGUGGGGAAUAUUGGACAAUGGGCGAAAGCCUGAUCCAGCCAUGCCGCGUGUGUGAAGAAGGUCUUCGGAUUGUAAAGCACUUUAAGUUGGGAGGAAGGGUAGUAACUUAAUACGUUGCUACUUUGACGUUACCGACAGAAUAAGCACCGGCUAACUUCGUGCCAGCAGCCGCGGUAAUACGAAGGGUGCAAGCGUUAAUCGGAAUUACUGGGCGUAAAGCGCGCGUAGGUGGUUCAGUAAGUUGAAUGUGAAAUCCCCGGGCUCAACCUGGGAACUGCAUCCAAAACUGCUGAGCUAGAGUACGGGUAGAGGGUAGUGUAAUUUCCUGUGUAGCGGUGAAAUGCGUAGAUAUAGGGAAGGGAACACCAGUGGCCGAAGGCGACUACCUGGGACUGGCUACUGACACUGAGGUGCGAAAGCGUGGGGGCAGCAAACAGGAUUAGAUACCCUGGCUAGUCCACGUCGUUAACGAUGUCAGCUAGUCGUUGGGCAGUCAUGAACUCUCGUGGCGCUAGCUGACGCAUUAGUUGAACCGCCUGGGGGAGUACCGUCCGCAUGAUUAAAAACUCAAAUUGAA
rnacentral:rRNA from 1 species